CUGUCCUUAGAGUGAUUCACCCCCAGCCCUGUCCUUAGAGUGAUUCACCCCCAGCCCUGUCCUUAGAGUGAUUAACCACACCCCUGUCCUUAGAGUGAUUCACCCCUAGCCCUGUCCUUUGAGUGAUUCACUCCCAGCCCUUUCCUUAGAGUGAUUCACCCCAGUCCUGUCCUUAGAGUGAUUCACCCCAGCCCUGUCCUUAGAGUGAUUCCCCCCCAGCCCUGUCCUUAGAGUGAUUCACCCCAGCCCUGUCCUUAGAGUGAUUCACCCCAGCACUGUCCAUAGAGUGAUUCACCCCCAGCCCUGUCCUUAGAGCUAUUCACCCCCAGCCCUGUCGUUAGAGUGAUUCACCCCAGUCCUGUCCUUACAGUUAUUCACCCCAGCCCUGUCCUUAGAGUGAUUCACCCCAGCCCUGUCCUUAGAGUGAUUCACUCCCAGCCCUUUCCUUAGAGUGAUUCACCCCAGCCCUGUCCUUAGAGUGAUCCCCCCAGCCCUGUCCUUAUAGUGAUUCCCCCCAGCCCUGUCCUUAGAGUGAUUCACCCCAGUCCUGUCCUUAGAGUGAUUCACCCCAGCCCUGUCCUUAGAGUGAUUCCCCCCCAGCCCUGUCCUUAGAGUGUUUCACCCCAGCCCUGUCCUUAGAGUGAUUCACCCCCAGCCCUGUCCUUAGAGUGAUUCACCCCCAGCCCUGUCCUUAGAGUGAUUCUACCCCAGCCCUGUCGUUAGAGUGAUUCACCACAGUCAUGUCCUUACAGUUAUUCACCCCUGCCCUGUCCUUAGAGUGAUUCACCCCUGCCCUGUCCUUAGGGUGAUUCACCCCAGCCCUGUCCUUAGAGUGAUUCA
rnacentral:lncRNA from 1 species